CUACCACAUCCAAGGAAGGCAGCAGGCGCGCAAAUUACCCACUCCCGGCACGGGGAGGUAGUGACGAAAAAUAACAAUACGGGACUCUUACGAGACCCCGUAAUUGGAAUGAGUACACUCUAAAUCCUUUCGCGAGGAUCCAUUGGAGGGCAAGUCUGGUGCCAGCAGCUGCGGUAAUUCCAGUUCCAAUAGCGUAUAUUAAAGUUGUUGCGGUUAAAAAGCUCGUAGUUGGAUCUCAGUUCCAGGCGGGCGGUCCGCCUAACGGCGGCCACCGUCCGUUCUGAACAGCCAGCCGGCUGCGCUCGAUGAUCUUCACCGGUUGUCUUGCGCGUCCGGCACGUUUACUUUGAAAAAAUUAGAGUGCUCAGAGCAGGCGCGACGCCUGGAUAAUGGUGCAUGGAAUAAUGGAACAGGACCUCGGUUCUGCUUUGUUGGUUUUCGGGACGAGAGGUAAUGAUUAAGAGGGACAGACGGGGGCAUUCGUAUUGCCGCGCUAGAGGUGAAAUUCUUGGACCGCGGCAAGACGAACAGCAGCGAAAGCAUUUGCCAAGAAUGUUUCCAUUGAUCAAGAACGAAAGUUAGAGGUUCGAAGGCGAUCAGAUACCGCCCUAGUUCUAACCAUAAACGAUGCCAGCCAGCGAUCGGGCUGCGUUCCUCAAAUGACGCGCCCGGCAGCUUCCGGGAAACCAAAGCCUUUGGGUUCCGGGGGAAGUAUGGUU
rnacentral:rRNA from 1 species